rnacentral:rRNA from 1 species
CCUACGGGUGGCAGCAGUGAGGAAUAUUGGUCAAUGGACGAAAGUCUGAACCAGCCAUGCCGCGUGCAGGAAGCAGGCUCUAUGGGUUGUAAACUGCUUUUAUACAAGGGUAAACCUAAAUACGUGUAUUCAGCUGAAAGUACUGUACGAAUAAGGAUCGGCUAACUCCGUGCCAGCAGCCGCGGUAAUACGGAGGAUCCAAGCGUUAUCCGGAUUUAUUGGGUUUAAAGGGCGCGUAGGUGGAUUGUUAAGUCAGUUGUGAAAGUUUGAGGCUCAACCGUAAAAUUGCAGUUGAAACUGGUAGUCUUGAGUAUAGUAGAGGUGGGCGGAAUGCGUGGUGUAGCGGUGAAAUGCUUAGAUAUCACGAAGAACUCCGAUUGCGAAGGCAGCUUACUGGACUGUAACUGACACUGAUGCACGAAAGUGUGGGGAUCAAACAGGAUUAGAUACCCCAGUAGUC